UUUUUUUUUUAUUGUGGCGGUUUUGGGGAUUCGUAUUUCUUAAAAUUACAAGUGAUCAUAGUUGAAUAUAGCUUCUUUGGUAUUUCAGCUAGUGAUUAAAUUUAUUAGCAGUAGAUCAAGAACAAUAUAUAUUCGUCCUGUUCUUUUGAUUUAUAGACGAUCCUCUUUUUUUUGGGUAGCUUGAUUCAUAUACGAUUUUUGCCAUACCUUAUUAUGGUGCUAAUUUCUGACAAAUGCUUAAUGUAGAUCUAAGUAAGCCAUUUUGUAUGAUUUCCAGAAAUAGAAUGAGUCUUAUGAUUCAAAAUGAAUUAGUGGUGGACUUAUUUUUUUAUUUUAUUGGUUUCGAAUGGAG
rnacentral:misc_RNA from 1 species